CGUCCUCAGGGCGUCCGAGUUGUAAUCUAUAGAGGCGUUUUCCGUGCCGGACCGUGUCCAAGUUCCUUGGAACAGGAUAUCAAAGAGGGUGACAAUCCCGUACUUGACACGACGACCGGUGCUCUGUGAUACGUCUUCUACGAGUCGAGUUGUUUGGGAAUGCAGCUCAAAAUGGGUGGUGAGUUCCAUCUAAAGCUAAAUAUUGGCGAGAGACCGAUAGCGAACAAGUACCGUGAGGGAAAGAUGAAAAGCACUUUGGAAAGAGAGUUAAACAGUACGUGAAAUUGUUGAAAGGGAAACGAUUGAAGUCAGUCGUGACCGAGAGGCUCAGCCGGUUCUGCCGGUGUAUUCCCCUCGGUCGGGUCAACAUCAGUUUUGUCCGGUGGAUAAGGGCGGUAGGAAGGUGGCACCCUCGGGUGUGUUAUAGCCUGCCGUCGCAUACAUCGGGUGAGACUGAGGAACGCAGCUCGCCUUUAUGGCCGGGGUUCGCCCACGUCCGAGCUUAGGAUGUUGACAUAAUGGCUUUAAACGACCCGUCUUGAAACACGGAC
rnacentral:rRNA from 1 species